rnacentral:rRNA from 1 species
GAUGAACGCUAGCUACAGGCUUAACACAUGCAAGUCGAGGGGCAGCAUGACGGUAGCUUGCUACUGUUGAUGGCGACCGGCGCACGGGUGCGUAACGCGUGUCCAACCUACCCAUAGCUCGGGCAUAGCCCGUCGAAAGACGGAUUAAUUCCCGAUAUGUUCAAUUGCGGCAUCAAGAUUGAAUGAAAGUUCACGGCUAUGGAUGGGGACGCGUAGGAUUAGGUAGUAGGUGAGGUAACGGCUCACCUAGCCGACGAUCCUUAGGGGUUCUGAGAGGAAGGUCCCCCACACUGGUACUGAGACACGGACCAGACUCCUACGGGAGGCAGCAGUGAGGAAUAUUGGUCAAUGGGCGGAAGCCUGAACCAGCCAAGUAGCGUGCAGGAAGACUGCCCUAUGGGUUGUAAACUGCUUUUACACGGGAAUAAAAAGGGCUACGUGUAGUCUGUUGUAGGUACCGUAAGAAAAAGGACCGGCUAAUUCCGUGCCAGCAGCCGCGGUAAUACGGAAGGUCCGGGCGUUAUCCGGAUUUAUUGGGUUUAAAGGGAGCGCAGGCGGCCUGUUAAGCGUGUGGUGAAAUUAAGACGCUCAACGUCUUCCGUGCCACGCGAACUGGCGGGCUUGAGUGCACAGAACGCUGGCGGAAUUCGUCGUGUAGCGGUGAAAUGCUUAGAUAUGACGAAGAACUCCGAUUGCGAAGGCAGCUGGCGGUAGUGUUACUGACGCUGAGGCUCGAAAGUGUGGGUACCGAACAGGAUUAGAUACCCUGGUAGUCCACACGGUAAACGAUGGAUGCUCGCUGUUCGGCUAUAGAGUUGAGCGGCUUAGCGAAAGCGUUAAGCAUCCCACCUGGGGAGUACGCCGGCAACGGUGAAGCUCAAAGGAAUUGACGGGGGCCCGCACAAGCGGAGGAACAUGUGGUUUAAUUCGAUGAUACGCGAGGAACCUUACCCGGGCUUGAACUGUAGGUGAACGAUUCAGAGGUGAUGAGGUCCUUCGGGACACCUAUGGAGGUGCUGCAUGGUUGUCGUCAGCUCGUGCCGUGAGGUGUCGGCUUAAGUGCCAUAACGAGCGCAACCCUUGUCCUCAGUUGCCAUCAGUUUAUGCUGGGCACUCUGUGGAUACUGCCACCGUAAGGUGUGAGGAAGGUGGGGAUGACGUCAAAUCAGCACGGCCCUUACGUCCGGGGCUACACACGUGUUACAAUGGCGUGUACAGAAAGCAGGACUAUGGCGACAUGGUUCAAAUCCUUAAAGCACGUCCCAGUUCGGAUUGGAGUCUGCAACCCGACUCCAUGAAGCUGGAUUCGCUAGUAAUCGCGCAUCAGCCAUGGCGCGGUGAAUACGUUCCCGGGCCU